rnacentral:lncRNA from 1 species
AUGGAAGGCUUGGAAUUCCUUGGGAUUCCUUGGGAUGGAUUCCUUGGGAUUUUUCAGGAUGGAUUCCUCAGGAUGGAUUCCUCAGGAUUUGUCAGGAUUCCUUGGGAUGGAUCCCUCAGGAUUUGUCAGGAUUCCUUGGGACGGAUUCCUCAGGAUUUGCCAGGAUUCCUUGGGAUGGAUCCCUCAGGAUUUGUCAGGAUUCCUUGGGAUGGAUCCCUCAGGAUUCUUCGGGAGUCUUUGGGAUGGAUUCCUUGGGACGGAUUUCUCGGGAUUUGUCAGGAUUCCUUGGGAUGGAUUCCUUCGCAUUCCUCGGGAUGGAUUCCUCAGGAUUUGUCAGGAUUCCUUAGGAAGGAUUCCUCAGGAUUUCUCGGGAUGGAUACCUUGGGAUGGAUCCCUCAGGAUUUGUCCGGAUUGCUUGGGAGGAUUCCUCCGGAUUCUUUGGGAUGGAUUCCUCAGGGUUCCUUGAGAUUCCUUGGGAGAGAUUCCUCGGGAUUCCUCAGGAGUCUUUGGGAUGGAUUCCUCGGGAUGGAUUCCUCAGGAUUUGUCAGGAUUCCUUGGGAUGGAUUCCUCAGGAUCCCAUGGGAUGGAUUCCUCAGGACGGAUCCCUCAGGAUGGAUUCCUCAGGACGGAUUCCUCAGGACGGAUUCCUCGGGAUGGAUUCUCCAGAAUGGAUCCCUCAGGAUGGAUU